UUCUUUUGAGACUCUUUUAUUGAUUUUUCUUUUUUUAUAUAACAAUCCAGUCUGUUGGGUCUCAAUGCAGUUUAUAAAAAAAGAAAAAGAAAAACCUCGGGUCAGUUUCAUGUAAACUGCAAUCAAAAAAGUAAUUUAGUCUGUCAAAGAAGUUAUCUGACGUUGCAAUUUUUUUAAUAUGCAGAACAGUAAAAUGUACGCAUGCUCUCGGAUGCAGGUGACAAUAAAACUCAUAUUUAUGAAUAAAGUACUUUUCUCAAAAAAGAAAAAAGAAAUUGAGGCAGCUCCCGUUGAAUGUUAUCUGUGCUACGCCUUGAGCUCAACUAAGAGUCCAUGUCCAUGCUGCAACUUGAGAGGAAAAAAAAAAGUCCCUCUGCAGGCAUCGAGGAGUACCAAAAGGAAAGGGGUAAAUAAACAUUAUAUGCACAGUUGUUCAUGUCCUUACAUUAACAGAACACACCAAGAAUUUUACAUAACGAGGAUCAAAAUCAAUGGUGUCUACGGUGGAGGGUGGAAGUGGAGCAAGCAUAGUAAAGGGGGGGGAGGGACCUUAAGUCUACAUACACCUCAUGCAGAGUCCUCCUUGGCCAGUCCUAGUUCUCAGACAUCCGAGUUGGAACUGAGAUUUGUUAAUCUGGGGUCCGCAUUGAUUUCGUAUCUGUAAUGAUACCCUUCCAUGUGAU
rnacentral:lncRNA from 1 species